CAUGGCGGCGCGCUGAGGGGACUGCGGCCCGAUCAUGGCGCAGCCGCCGCCGUUCCCCGCCCGCCUCCCACCGCCCUUCCGCGCCUUCCCGCCGCCCUUCCCCGGCCCCACCGUCCGCCCAGCGCCCUUCACGGUGGGGCCGGCGGCACCCCCGCCUUUCUUCUUGCCGCCGCCUGCGGGUGAGGCCGGACCGCGCUUCCCGCCGGGCGUCCCCUACUUAGCGGCGGCCCCGCCGCGAGCAGCGGCUGAGGAGGAGGCGGUGCAGCGGCAGCAGGAUGAGCUGUGGCUGUCGCAGUUCCUGGGCCGCCGCCGCGCCGCUCCCCCGCCGCCACCGCCGCCCGCCGCCGCCAGCCCCAGCAGCGCCCGGGCCGUGGCGGUGGCGGCGCUGGGGCGGGUGGCCCGGGUGACAGCGCUCUGCCGGGCCCUGCGGCGCUGCGAGGAUGGGGGCGACGAGCCGGGAUGGGCCCGGGCUCGGGAGGAGGCGGAGGCGGCGCUGCGGGAGCUGCGGGAGAUCGUGCGGCCCCUGCGGGAGCCCGGGUACGGCGAGGCGCUGCGCAGGAAGGCCGAGAGGGCGAGGAAGAGGAGGCUGCGCCUGCAGCGGAGGAAGCUCGAAGCCAGGGCGGCUAAGGAGGAGGAGGCGGCCCGGGCCGCCGAGCGGGAGGCCAAGAUCGACCAGUGGCGGGCUAAGUGCAUCCAGGAGGUGGAAGAGAAGAACCGGGAACGAGAGCUGAAGGCUGCUGCUGACAGUGUCCUGUCUGAAGUGCGGAAGAAACAAGCAGAUACAAAGAGGAUGAUGGACGUCCUGCGUGGGCUGGAAAAGCUUCGGAAGCUGAGGAAAGAAGCUGCUGCCAGGAAAGGUGUUUGUCCACCUCCUUCAGCAGAUGAAGCAUUUGAAAAUCAGGUGGAGAGUCUCAAGACAUUGCUCAAAACUCGCACAGAGCUGUAUGAAGCUGAGGAAAGAGCAUUAAGGGUUAUGCUGGAGGGAGAACAGGAGGAGGAAAGGAAGAGGGAGAUGGAAAAGAAACAGAAGAAGGAGAGGGAAAAACUACUACAGCAGAAACUGGAAAUGGAUUCCAAGCUGUUUGGGGAUCCAGCUGAAUUCCCACUCACCCAUCUACUGCAGCCUUUCAGAGACUACUACUUACAAGCUGAACAUUCUGUAGCAGCUCUAAUCCAGAUCAGGCAUGAAUGGGAUCAGUACUUGGUGCCAGCUGACCACCCUGAAGGAAGCUGCAUCCCUCCAGGAUGGGUUCUCCCGAGUCUCCCCAGCAAUGACACUUGGGCCACUGCUGUCAGAUAAUUUACUAAUAAAUUAUUUCAACAUUGGAGGAUUGCUUCAUUAUAAUUACUGUAAAUAUGAGAGGGUCCAAAGAGCAAGUCUCAUCCUCUCUUUCAGCAGCCAGCAUUUUCACACCAGGGAAGAGAUUUGUUUGAGUACUUUACAUCGAAUACAAUUCCAAUGAGGAGAGAAUUAUUGGGAAAAGGUUUGUGUGAAGGAACUUCUCCCUCCUGCAGGAUGACAGAGGUGACAUCUGAUGUCAAAGCUUUCCAUGUUCUGGACAGUUUGCUUGUAACUCUGACGGGCCAUACGGAUUUGGAGCUUUGCUGUUCUGCACAGAUUGCUGGGCACCUUUCCAGAGCUGCAGUCCUUACUUUUGCUUAGCCCCAGUGUGUGGGAAUGGAGUUAAUCUCUCCAGUGCUUUGCCUCUUGGCGUCACAACAGUGCGUAACUCACACGUCAUUGCCUCAAUUCAAUACUUGGGCCUUAGGUGUAACGUUAGUAAUGUCCUGGCUGAACCUUUGCCCUGGUUUCUAUCAGGAAGAGACAUGAACUGGUAGUUGCUGAUAGAUCAGGAGUGCAGAAGUUUGCAGUUCUUGCUCACCUGUAGCACUCCAAAAUACAGAUUGCCGUGAAGUCCUCUGCAGGUGGUGCUCUAAUUUGCUUUUCCCUGCAUCCUCCCAUCCCUAAUAUCACUUCCAGCAUCUCAUUACUCCAGACCCAAGGCUGAUCCUGGGGAGUCUUCCCUGUUGAAAACACACAAGAUCAAAUAUAAAAAUAAAAACAAAAACAACUGCAUAAAACCAAUACAAGCCCAACACUUCCAGUUCAGGCAGCUUAGUGACCAGAGGAUGCUCUUCUUAAACAAUUAGACUCCUUAUCCCAUCAGCAUGUCUGAUGGAACACGCCAACCGCUUAAGUUCCGAUUAUCUCAAAGCUGCCCAAGUCAGCUGCUUGUCUGACACUGCAGGAAUUUAAAGAGCUGAGCAGUAGAUAAGGAGGCAGCAAAGCAGCAGCCCUGUUCUCCCCGCCCUGCAAGGAGAGAGCUCCAUGAGUUCAUCUGACGGUAAGAACAGCUUCAUAUUGCUAAUAAACAUGGGGCUUGAAAAUGCCAGGGGAGGAUCUGCCUUUAUAAUGUCCUGUGGUUUUGCUCCUGUCUAACAACAUCGGCAUUAAAUGUUUAACAGCUUUAGUGAGGAAGUCAUUGAAGUCACAGGUGGGGAGGAAUGUUUAAACUCAUAAAAUAUGUGGACACAGAACAUUAAUUUAAAAGGUGUGUGUUCAGACUUGAUUCCCAUUUUUCUGAGUAUAAUAUUUCCCACUGUGUUUAAGUUUUAAAAAGUUAGUGUAGCCCAGAAGAAGAGAGAGGUUGGCAGUGAGUUUCCAAGAUUCAUUUGCAUCCUAUUCCUCCUGGUGCAGUUGGGUUUCUCCUGCUGUUCAGGCACAUCCUCUUCCUCAUGUGAACUGGUUUAUGCACUGGCCAGGGUCUGUGAUGUGAAAGUGGCCAGGGCUGCUGGGGAGAACAUGAGGUCAGAGCCCUCAUUCUGGUGGGAAUUGGUGUUUAUAACUGACCCUCUUUUAUCCUUCUCUAGUAGCAUUUUUGUUGUGAUUACUUCUGCCCCAGAGUACUUCUUGUUUUCUAAACUGUGGUUUUGGGAAUUAACACUUGUGUGAGCCUCUCUUAAAGCACAGUAUUUAUGCAGUCAAAUACAGCGAGGUACAGAUCA